GCCUCGGUAGCGCAGUAGGUAGCGCGUCAUUCUUAUAAUGUGGAUUUCGUGAGUUCGAUCCUCACUCGGGGCA